CUCAAAUUUGAAAUCCUGGUACUUUCAGUGCCCGAGUUGUAAUUUGUAGAAUUUGUCUUUGAUUAGGUCCUUGUCUAUGUUCCUUGGAACAGGACGUCAUAGAGGGUGAGAAUCCCGUUUGGCGAGGAUACCUUUUCUCUGUAAGACUUUUUCGAAGAGUCGAGUUGUUUGGGAAUGCAGCUCAAAGUGGGUGGUAAAUUCCAUCUAAAGCUAAAUAUUGGCGAGAGACCGAUAGCGAACAAGUACAGUGAUGGAAAGAUGAAAAGAACUUUGAAAAGAGAGUGAAAAAGUACGUGAAAUUGUUGAAAGGGAAGGGCAUUUGAUCAGACAUGGUGUUUUUUGCAUGCACUCGCCUCUCGUGGGCUUGGGCCUCUCAAAAAUUUCACUGGGCCAACAUCAAUUCUGGCAGCAGGAUAAAUCAUUAAGAAUGUAGCUACUU
rnacentral:rRNA from 1 species